AUCUUAGCGCUAAGAGAGCUUGGAAAAUCUAGGCCCAGUUCCCUAAAAUGAUCUUAGCACUUACGACUAUCUUAACGCUAAGAGAGCUUCGAAAAUCUAGGCCCAGUUCCCUAAAAUGAUCUUAGCACUUACGACUAUCUUAACUUUGCGCAAA